CAGAGAGACAGCUGUCAGCAUCACCCAGUGUGUGUGUCUGUGUGCAUUACAGAGGCUGUUAGUGUGCCUAUAUCUUAGUGUGUGUGUGUGUGUGUGUGUAUCAGUCUGUCACAUCAGGCUGCUGGUGUAUGUAUGUGUGUGUAUUUGUGUCACAGGACAUGCUGGUCUGUGCCAACAUGGAUGCGUCAAUGGUAGGUGGUAUGUCAGGAGUGAUAGGUGUGUGUGAGGUGGCUGUUGUGUGUCAGGGGUGGUCGGUGUGUGUGUGUCAGGGGUGGUCGGUGUGUGAGACGUGGUUGGUCUGUGUGUGUCAGGAGUGGUCACUGUGUGUGACAAGUGGUUUGUUUAUUUAAGGGGUGGUCGGUAUGGGCAUGUCAGGGUUGUGUAAGGUGCUUGGUUUGUAUGUUAUAGAUGGUCAGUGUGUGUGUCAGGUGUGAUCGUGUGUGAGAGGUGGUUUGUGUGUUUCAGGGGUGGUCGUUAGUGUGUGUGUGAGAAAGGUGGUUGAUGUUUGUGUUUCAGGGGUGAUCGUGUGUGAGAGGUGGUUUGUGUGUUUCAGGGGUGGUCAGUGUGUGCAUGUGGUAGUUAGUGUGUAUGUCAGAGGUGGUCAGUGUGUGUGUGUCAGGGGUGAUCGUGUGUGAGAAGUGGUUUGUGUGUUUCAGGGGUGGUCGGUAUGGGCAUGUCAGGGGUGAUAGGUGUGUGUGAGGUGGUUAGUGUGUGUGUUUGUCAGGGGUGAUCGUGUGUGAGAGGUGGUUUGUUUGUUUCAGGGGUGGUCGUUAGUGUGUGUGAGAAAGGUGGUUGGUGUUUGUGUGUCAGGGGUGAUCGGUGUGUGAGAAGUGGUUUGUGUGUUUCAAGGGUGGUCAGUGUGUGCGUGUGGUAGUUAGUGUGUGUGAGAGGUGGUUGGUGUGUGUGUGAGAAGGGGUUUGUGUGUUUCAGGGGAGGUCGGUAUGGGCAUGUCAGGGGUGAUAGGUGUGUGUGAGGUGGUUAGUGUGUAUGUCAGAGGUGGUCAGUGUGUGUGUGUGUCAGGGGUGAUCGUGUGUGAGAAGUGGUUUGUGUGUUUCAGGGGUGGUCGGUAUGGGUGUGUCAGGGGUGAUAGGUGUGUGUGAGGUGGUUGGUUUGUAUGUUAGAGGUGGUCAGUGUGUGUGUCAGGGGUGAUCGUGUGUUCGAGGUGGUUUGUGUGUUUCAGGGGUGGUCAGUGUGUGCGUGUGGUAGUUAGUGUGUGUGAGAGGUGGUUGGUGUGUGUGUGUGAAGUGGUUUGUGUGUUUCAGGGGUGGUCGGUAUGGGUGUGU